UGGGGCGUGGCCAAGUGGUAAGGCAGCGGACUUUGGAUCCGCCACCCCAGGUUCGAAUCCUGGCGCCCCAG
rnacentral:tRNA from 1 species